rnacentral:rRNA from 1 species
UGGAUAUCUGCCUUUUGGUUCGGAAUAACCCCGGGAAACUGGGGCUAAUACCGGAUGGUUCCUUCGGGAUAAAGAUUUAUCGCCAAAAGAUGAGUCCGCAUCCGAUUAGCUAGUUGGUGAGGUAACGGCUCACCAAGGCGACGAUCAGUAGCUGGUCUGAGAGGAUGGUCAGCCACACUGGGACUGAGACACGGCCCAGACUCCUACGGGAGGCAG